rnacentral:lncRNA from 1 species
GAUUCUGAUGGCAGUUUAGGACUUUGGCAAGAAUUUCAACAGCGGCAACAUUUUUUGUGUUAUUCAUCUUAAGGUAAAUCAAUUUCUCUCUCCGUGUACUCUUGUGUUAUUGUUCACGCUUUACCUUUAGAUAGGGAAAUUAUUAUUAGAUAUUUCUGUCUUGUGAACCGUUGGACCGUUUUUUGUUGUUGAUUUCUUCUAACGAAACUGAUGAGCUUGUUCAGAUUGUAAAAUCUAGAGAAAAUGAGUCAUGUGCGGGUUCUAAUUAUAACAAUGAAUUAAACCUAAUGAUCAAUCUCUCAUUUAUGCACCUUUCUUAUUGUGUCUACAAAAGGGUUUGCACAGUGCACGAGACUCGAUUUCGAAUGUGCCACUAGUUAUUAGGUAUAGUAUUCUAAAAAUUGGGAGUAUGUCCUUUACUUUCAAAAUCCACAAUGUGCUAACUAUUCAUGGAGUGAGUGAUGGUGGGUGGAGUACAUGAAUAUUUGGCUUAGAUCUAAUUUAUUCUCCUACAUAUUUAUAUGAUUGUGUCUUUUAGAAUUGUUGGAGAAAAAGAGUCGCAAAAUAUAAGAAAUGUAUGACAAAUUCGAACUUGUAUUUAGACUCCAUCUAAUCUAGCCCCUCCUGGCCUGAGUGUGGAUAAUUUGCAAAGAGAGGUGAAGCUGAAGGAUCAUGGUGAUUGAUACCGUCGAAGCUUCCUCUCCGCCGUUUCACACUGGACAAUCUGGUCACUCACGCCACUUCUAUCUAGCAGUUGACAGGCUUCAAUUCAAAAUGCAAACCAUGCUUGAUCUGCUUGACUUGGUGGGUCGGCGUCAAUACUUCCCCAUUGUUGUUUGUUGCAGCAGCCGCGAUGACCUCGACUCUCUCUGCUCUUCUCUUUCCCCUCUACCUUUCCUUUCUUAUUCAGCUUUGUACAGUGACCUUGCUGAAGAUGAGCGUGCUUUUAUUUUAGACAAAUUUCGCCAAGUGGCAACAAGGUGGAACCAGAUUAAUCAUACUGGAACAGGAAAUGAGGAUGAGGUGGGGAAGGAUGAUGAUAGGUCUCAUGUGAUCAUCGUAACAGACACUUGCCUUCCUCUCCUUGCUUUAGGAGAGUCUCCCCUCAAUGGUCAUCUUCUGAUUAACUACGACAUACCAGCAAAGAAGGUCCUUUUCCCCUAUACUCUGUAUUUGCUAUGUCUGCUUACGUUUAUAUGUGCCAUGCCCAUACAGCCAUACCUACUAUCUUCGUGCAAAAGUCUUUUGUCGUAGUGUUUUUUCAUACUUAGUUUUCCUUCUAGUGAAAUUGGUCUCAUCAAACUAUUUCUCAGUUGUGAUUUGUGGUGUCAGCUUCACUUCCCUGACAUAUUAUUCCUUAAGUGGAAGAUCAUGUGGUAAUUAGCUAUUUCAGUUUUCAAAUAAUUGUCUACCUAUACCAAACAGCAAAUAGUGAUUGCUAACUAAUAUUUUGUUUCUUUUGCUCUCGAGAUUGUAAAACUUGUUCUUUGUGUGCACUGCGCCCUUGUUACUUACCAGUGAGAAGGGUGGUGGUGCCCUUUUCCUUUAUAUUUUUGGAAUUUGGUUUCAAGUUAUACUUUUGUUUCUCAAUAAUCAUUCAGCUACAUAUUACCUUAACUUGUCAACAUUGAUGAAGAAUGAUGGUUGGUUGGUUUAUGUGUUGUGAAAGUGGGGCAUGUAUACCUAUUAUUGUUACCUGUCACCUAAUGUAGUCUUUCUAUGUUUCUCAUCAAUUUUUAUGUUUACUACAGGAAACAUAUGGGAGGCGUAUGGCAACUUGUUUAACAGCUGGUCCUGUCUUUGAUACGCAGUCCUAUGUUUUUUAAGAUAUAGUUUGGGGUUUCCCUGUGUUGCUAAGAUUCCUCACUAUUGUGCAGAUGGAAUUGUCAUCAAUAUGGUUGUUGGUGGGGAAGUGGUCACCUUAAAGAGUAUUGAAGAAAGCAGCGGUAUUAUCAUGCAGGAGAUGCCAAUGCGAGUAAGUUGCUAAGUUUCCAUACCAGGAUCACAUUGCAUUCAUCACAUUUGAAUUUGUGGAAGGUCACAUUUGAAUGUUCCAAAAUCGCAUUCUACAUUUGAAUUUGCCUAUUCACAUAUACAUGUCCACUUUCUUUUCAGUUUUGUUUUAUUAGAUGAAACCCUUUUUUUUCCUUUUAAUCCCAUGUUGUUCAAGACAUAACAUUAUAAAUGAACUCAUUUGCAAGAAAAUACAAGUAACACCUGUUGCGGAAAAGAUUCUACCAUGCCGUUUUGGGUGGUUUGGCCAUACGAGAAAGCUAAGAAGUUCUAGUAAGAAGAGUAACCAUAUAAUUGAAAGUAAAUGAAGACCAAGAAAAUCUUGUAGUGAAGCCACUUAGAUUUAAGUAAGUUUCUGAAGACACCCAUGUAAUUAACCUACCUAAUUCAAAAAAAAGGCUUUUGUUGUUGUUAUUGUUUUAUUGAUCUAUGUUUUCAGUUAUUA